rnacentral:misc_RNA from 1 species
GAUGAAGAACGCAGCGAAAUGCGAUAAGUAAUGUGAAUUGCAGAUUUCAGUGAAUCAUCGAAUCUUUGAACGCACCUUGCGCCUUGUGGUAUUCCACAAGGCAUGCCCGUUUGAGUAUCAUUAAAUCAUCAACUCUAAAACCUUUGUGGUUUUUUUUAGAGCUUGGUCUUGAGGGUUUUGCAGGCUUUUUUUUUUUUUCGAGUCUGCUCCCUUUAAAUGCAUUAGCGAGACUUCCCUAUGCUGAACCGUCUCUUUGACGUGAUAAUUAUCUGCGUCGAAUUUUGGUUCUCGUUGGGCUUGCUUCUAAUCGUCUGUUAAAGACAAAACGGAUUUGGGUGCAUAUAUGCGCCUUUUUCCAAAACCUUUUUUUGAUCUCAAAUCGGGUAGGACUACCCGCUGAACUUAAGCAUAUCAAUAAGCGGAGGA